rnacentral:pre_miRNA from 1 species
CCAAAAUAAGUGACUCAAAAGUGAGUGAACUUUGUACUAAUUUUAGUACAAAGUUCACUCACUUUUGAGUCACUUAUUUUGG